AUGUCCAGCAAUUUUAUUUAUUUAUUUUUCCCCCAACCAAAUGCAGCACGUCGAGAAUCCCCAGCACAUUUGUGGGGUGCAAACAACCCCAGGACCAGCGAGGGAGGAAAUUGCAGCUCACAAAGCUCCUGGAGCAGAGCAGGGCAGGGAGGCACUGGGGGAGGGGAAUGUGCUGGGGCUGCUGGGGCGUGCUGGGGUGUGCUGGGAUGGGAUAUACUGGGAUGUAAUGGAAUGUACUGGGAUGUGCUGGGAUGGGCUGGAACGAGCUGGGAUGGGAUAUACUGGGAUAUACUGGGAUGUACUGGGGUGUGCUGGAAUGUACUGAGGUGUUCUGGAAGGUGCUGGGAUAUAAUGGGAUGCACUGGGAUGCAGUUGGGUGUAUUUGGGAUGCCCUGGUUGCAGUCCCCACCCCGGCCAGCCCAGCACUCCCACCCAUCCCCCGGAGCCCCGGGCAGGCUCCAGAGUCCCCUCUGUCCCCUGGGGUCCCCUCUGUCCCUCGGGGUCCCCGCAGUCACAGAGAGUCACAGAGAGUCACAAAGAAUCACAAACAAUCUCAAAGAAUCACAAAGAGUCACAAAGAGUCACAAACAAUCACUAAGAGUCACAAAUAGUCACAAAGAGUCACAAAGAGUCACAAACAAUCACUAA
rnacentral:lncRNA from 1 species